UAAAUGUCCAUGGGUAUUUAUAAAUGUCCAUGGGUAUAUAUAAAUGUCCAUGGGUAUUUAUAAAUGUCAGUGGAGGAUGUGUGCUUUUCAGGGUGUGGUUUUGUUACAUUACAAGUGAUAGUCACAUGACUGUUACAUAACCUGCCACAUGGUCACAACAAUGGCUGAAGGCUCAAUAAGUGUGAAUGUUGGAGUGUUGUCUAGUGCCCUGGCUGUUGCAAUUCAGCAAGCAGCUAGCAGUGGACAGUCACAGUCACCUCAAGUCCCUGCCAAUCAAAGUCAGCACACUUCCAGUCAAAGGUCUUACGAUGUUUACAGAAGCCUUAUCGAUUUGACACAAGAGUCUCCCGACGAUACAUUGCCAGCAAUGACUGGACACCAAUUAAAAUAUGGAGCUACUUUCAGUUGAUUUGCCGAUACAAAGAAGAAGAAAUACACCUUAGCUAACCUUGGAAUCCCACAAGAAGCUAGCCAGCCAGCUUGUAUAAGUUCCCUAACUGCUUUUGUUGAUCAAUGUUUCAGCGCUUGUCUCGUGUAUUGUAUUGUAAAAUUUGAUUAUUUUGUAUUUUUGUGUUUGAUUUGCGGCAUUCUUACACAUAUAUUUUCAUUUUUGCCGAUUGCCAGCAAAAAUAUACGGCCUACUCUGCUGCUUAAAGCGGCUGCUGCUCGAUAUAAAGUGGACUAAGCGGUUCCAAAAUGUGUCCAGUUUUGUCAAAAAAUCCACAAUUAUCAAUGACGUAUCGCAUUAUCUACACAUACCCAAGAGCUGCGUAGAGCCACUAAUUUGGGGAAUUCCCCAUUAAUCGCAAUGUACCAGCAAUGUAAAGUGAGUGUAUAUGGCUGCAACUUUCAGAACCUCCCCCACUGGGUCAUGCAGAUUACUGGAGAAGUAGUGUCUCUUGGCGUCAUCAUUAUUUUUCUCCACCCCUAGAGAAAAAGUAGGUCAGCAAACCUCACUGGGAGACGUUCCAGAAACUUCUUGGUGUCGUUCCCCUGCAGUGAUGUCCAUUCGUAAUGUCCAGAAGCUUUGCCAUCUGGACCCCUUGCUUCCCAUACCCUGAACGUGAUACCACAGUCUUUAACGAUCGUCUGUAGUGUUUGUAGGAAAAACUCAAGGCGGUACUCUGUUUCAUCAACAGUGAGUAGUGGGUGUGAAAUGAUGUCGUUCAACUCCUUCAAUACCUCAGAUAGUCCUGAACUAAUUGUUUCAUACGACUCUUCGGCUUUUAGGCCAGCAAAAGUAUGAUUGCCUGUAUGAAUGUCAAUAUAAAAAUAUUUUCACCACUUUCUCGUUUAAUAUUUUUAUUGUUAAGCUUACCCAUGCCUGAUAAAACAUUGUCUUGAAUUUC